rnacentral:rRNA from 1 species
GACGAACGCUGGCGGCGUGCCUAAUACAUGCAAGUAGAACGCUGAAGGAGGAGCUUGCUCUUCUGGAUGAGUUGCGAACGGGUGAGUAACGCGUAGGUAACCUGCCUGGUAGCGGGGGAUAACUAUUGGAAACGAUAGCUAAUACCGCAUAAGAGUAGAUGUUGCAUGACAUUUGCUUAAAAGGUGCACUUGCAUCACUACCAGAUGGACCUGCGUUGUAUUAGCUAGUUGGUGGGGUAACGGCUCACCAAGGCGACGAUACAUAGCCGACCUGAGAGGGUGAUCGGCCACACUGGGACUGAGACACGGCCCAGACUCCUACGGGAGGCAGCAGUAGGGAAUCUUCGGCAAUGGACGGAAGUCUGACCGAGCAACGCCGCGUGAGUGAAGAAGGUUUUUGGAUCGUAAAGCUCUGUUGUAAGAGAAGAACGAGUGUGAGAGUGGAAAGUUCACACUGUGACGGUAUCUUACCAGAAAGGGACGGCUAACUACGUG